GAUGAACGCUGGCGGCGUGCCUAAUACAUGCAAGUCGAGCGAACGGACGAGAAGCUUGCUUUUCUGAUGUUAGCGGCGGACGGGUGAGUAACACGUGGAUAACCUACCUAUAAGACUGGGAUAACUUCGGGAAACCGGAGCUAAUACCGGAUAAUAUUUUGAACCGCAUGGUUCAAAAGUGAAAGACGGUCUUGCUGUCACUUAUAGAUGGAUCCGCGCUGCAUUAGCUAGUUGGUAAGGUAACGGCUUACCAAGGCAACGAUGCAUAGCCGACCUGAGAGGGUGAUCGGCCACACUGGAACUGAGACACGGUCCAGACUCCUACGGGAGGCAGCAGUAGGGAAUCUUCCGCAAUGGGCGAAAGCCUGACGGAGCAACGCCGCGUGAGUGAUGAAGGUCCUCGGAUCGUAAAACUCUGUUAUUAGGGAAGAACAUAUGCGUAAGUAACUGUGCACAUCUUGACGGUACCUAAUCAGAAAGCCACGGCUAACUACGUG
rnacentral:rRNA from 1 species